rnacentral:lncRNA from 1 species
CCCAUUGUCAGAUCUAUCUUUUCUUCAUCUAAUCUACACGCCUCUCUCUCCUUUUCUCUUGCUUUUUCCUCUUUUCUCCUAAAUCUCACGCUUUUUCCCUCUUUGUGUUGAACACCGAUGAUGGAAGAAAUCCCAUUCGUUUCGCAGCUUAUAAACACUGAUUUGAAGAAAUCCCCACCGAUUUGCAGGUUUGUUCUCGCACGUGGCACUUUCGGCGCCGUCACCUCCUCUCAAAUUUCACUUUCGGUUGAACAGCGGCAGUGACAAUUAGGGUGUUAAGAUCUAGGGUUCCGACAAAAACGGAGAUGGUUACAGUUGGAUUUCAUAUUCUGGUGGCGAUGACUAGAUUAUUGAUGAGGUUUUGGUUGGAAUUCGCGACUGCAUGCUCAAGUUUAGGAAAACAAGGGUUUGGUAAGUAGAGAUUCCGGAGAUAUAUGGCAUAAACAAGCUUUCUAUAACAACAAGAAGUAGAAGGCGGAGGUGCUGCUAGGCCCCAACUGUACAAGAUUUGAUAUUUAAAAGAGAUGUUGAUAAUUUAUGGGAGAUUGAGAAAUUGAGAUCAGGAUUGAUGAAAACUCACACAAUUGGUCAUGGGUUUAUCAUGUGCAAAGGGGUUUCUAUAAUUUGUCAGAGCUACUGGACAUAAAUAUGGAUUCUGCCCAGUGACAACGUUUCAGGUUCAUGAAUAUUUUAGGCCUAAGGUUAUGUUGAAGUUGGGUGAUAUACAUAAAAACAAAUUUCAUACAAGAUAAAACAAGGGGAAGCUUUGUCUCUUGUGUCCUGCCUAAAAAGAGGUUAUUCGAUGACAACGGACACAGAAAUUAUGGUGGAUCUGAAGGCAGCAGAGGUGGAUAUGAAAAUCAACGGCCGUGAUGCAAUAGGAUUCCGGCAGGUAUUUGGGUGACCAGAGUAUGACGUUCUAGCUUUUCCCAAUGAUAUAUAUAACUUCUGUUCAGAUUUUACCUUAUUUGAAAUCUUGGGGCUUCCAUUUUAAGUUUUUCCUAAUUUUAUAAUUUUGGAGGAUACGUAACUUGCAUUUUGUAGGGUGGAUUUUGGAUCAGACCUGGUUCAAAAACUGAAUUGUUUUGUUUGUAUCUGUGUUAAUUGUUUGGUGCUUAAAACCUACUGGAUUUGUAUCAGUUGAGUUUUGACUUUUAAGUCAUGAAAGAGUUUUUGAACAUACUGGAUUUGUUGUUUGGGUUGAGACGUUGAAAUCGAGAUUUGGUGAAUU